GCCCGGAUAGCUCAGUCGAUAGAGCAUUUGGCUUUUAACCUAUCGAUCCAGGGGUCGAGUCCCUAUUCGGGCG